rnacentral:tRNA from 1 species
GCGGGAGUCGCCUAGCCUGGUCAAUGGCGGCAGGCUUAAGACCUGCUGGCUUAGUGCCUUCGUGGGUUCAAAUCCCACCUCCCGCA